UUUAAAAUCACAAAUUGUGAACGUAGAGUUGUGCCUAUUCUAAGAAGUCCAGCGAAACCUUCCGUCGCAUCUAUUUGAAAGAGAGAAAGAACGAGAAAUGAUAAAAAUUAGCCGUUGGAAUCAAUAAUGUGAUGCUUUUGGAAUGCUGUAAUCAUGAAUUCACAGCAAGACACCGAAUGGGAGUGGUGGUUAAAUUCAUUCUAUUGUCGCAGCUCCCGCCUUCGCUCUUGGCCAUCUUUCGGGCUGCAUCUUGGUAAUUUCCAUCUGCAAUUGUUGUAAGCCGACCAAACCCUAGAUUAAAAUGAUGGGUUUUGGUCAACCGUCGACCCAAUGCAAUUGGCUUUCUUUUGGACAACAAGGUCGGGUUUCGGGCAAAAGAUUUUAUGAACGGAUCCAAUUAUUCUAUUGCGGGAAUGAGAAUCAAAGAUCCUUUACGGUCAUCUAUAUUCACUUGUCGAUGCUGUUUGGAAUGCCCUAACAUACUAGAUGAAUUUAGGACAGGUUGUACAGAAGAUCAUGAGUCCCCGGAGGCUCCAGUUUCUCUCUUUGGUUAUUCAGACGACAAUUACUUCAUAACAAUGGAUACAAUUUCUCAGCUUUGUAGAGAGGAGGCAGAGGUCGAUUCUGUCCAAGAAAGCGAAAUUGAGUGGUUAUCCUCCACCAUCAUUUUUCUUAAGGGAAUGGAGACAAUACAAAUAUAAACAAAGAAUUAUUUAAUUUGCUUCUGAAACUAAAGCCCUCAACAAAAGGAUGUUGCCAACAGGAUAAACUUACCUCAAUUUUCAGAAGCCACUGUUCGAAAGGGAGAUUAUCUAGGACUACAACAUCUUUGGAAUCCAGCUUGCAAUUAAAGCAGUGGAGAAAGAUCCUUCAAGAAACAGGGCCCAGCAUUUUUCUAUGCGGUUCAUUGAUGGAGGACUCGGUUCUUACUGUCGAUACUCCGUUAUCAAAUACACCUUUCGUAAUGAAGCCGUCCCUCAACCAACGGGGGGAUGCCAUCCAUCCGUGGGAUAUCUGAGUUGAAUCAGGCAAAAAAUGGAAAUAGUAUCAAGGUAAAGCCUUGGUAAUUCCAGUACUACAUAAAUAUUUUCUUCUGUUCUCUCUUUUCUUGUUGCAGACCUAUGUGAUGAUGAUGAUUGAGGACUUGAACUUGUAUCUGCAAACGCAGAGGCGGCUUUGAAGAGAAAGCAAACAACAAAAUCUAAAUCUGGCCAUAAGAAAAGGCUGAGACAAGAUGAAGCUGAGUUGUGCAGCCAUGUUUUGUCUAGUGGGUGAACGUAUUUAAAGGAUACAAUAAUCAAUUAAUCAUAAGGCGGGGAACUUCCUAAACAUGAAAUAUAAUUUUGUUUAAUAAAAAUACCUUUCAUUUUUCCUUUUUCUCAUUUCACUUCAGUGCAGGGUAAAAAUCUAAAACUGAUAUUACCUUUUAACAAGUUUAGAUUGAUAUUUUCAACGA